rnacentral:rRNA from 1 species
AUGGACUUCACUUAUAAAGAGUGUUCUCGGUUUCCAAUAUUUUUUUCUCAAGAAAACGCAAAAGAAUUUGUGUUUCAUUUCAUUGAACAGGAAGACAUCAGGGGUACAACCUCCAGAAAGGAGGGACAUGCAGUGAAUUCGCCUGCUGGGUCGGCUGUUUCGGCUGUCAUCACAGUGAAUUUGCUUGCCCCGCAGCGGAUUCCCCUGUCCCGCCCACUGGUUGGCCGCUUCGCCCAACUCGGCUGCCAUGGCAGCAACCGACCCUGGCUUGGGCAGCAGCGCCUCUGCGCCAACCACGACAACCUCCAGCUCUGCUGUCAAGCUCGUUGCCUCGUCACCUUCGCCGUCUGCACCCCCCAUGCUGAUUGCACCGACGCGUGA